GCUUGAGGGUUUUGUACAGAUACUGUCCCUGCAAUAAGUGAGGCGAGGUCAGGGUCACGUUCACAUAUUAUCACUUUGCAGACGAUCCCAUUGCUCAAUAGUCUGUCAGUCUGAGCUUCCUGAAGGCCCCCUAAGCUAUGUAUGCUCAAAUGUUUUCAGAGACAGUGUAAACCUCAGGGCCCUAACGCCUUCAGUGCUGCAGUGAAUUACAGCAGAAUUCCUUGGAAGCAACUAUGUUUCCAUCCAAAAGAUAUAGCUAAAACACAGGGUAGCCUCUCUUACGCGUAUUCCCCACGUUUACUCAGCUGAUCUCAAAUUCCUCCAAAUAUUCAACUGAAUCAGUAUUUCUUCACUUUCUCUCAUGAGAUCUGUCCAGUUACUGGUGCACAAUGGCUAUGAGGAUUCAACCCCAGACGUAGCUGCAUCCCAGCGGUGAGGGAAACUAUCCUUAUUCAUAUACGACGUCAGCAGAGUGCUGACGGAUGUUGCUUACUGUUGGAGCAGCACCACCUCGUGGCUUUUGUGAAAUGGUGCACGGGAUCUGGAUGCUACGGAUCAGGGCCUUGUUGAGCUAUGCAUUCCAUACACAGAUGAAUUGCGGGUAGAGGUUUUGGCUCCAGUGCCCAGGCUCAAUUCCUGUCCUAGACCACUGUGCAGUGUCACUCUGAGCUGUUAAACUGUUGCCACGUUCCAUCCCAGAGCAGGCUGCAUUUCAGCACAGGAAGAAGUGAUUUGUAUGUGUAUGCUAGGAUGAGAUCUGAACUCACUGG